rnacentral:rRNA from 1 species
UACGGGGGGGGUAAGCGUUGUUCGGAAUUACUGGGCGUAAAGGGCUCGUAGGCGGCCAACUAAGUCGGACGUGAAAUCCCUCAGCUUAACUGGGGAACUGCGUCUGAUACUGGAUGGCUUGGAUUUGGGAGAGGGAUGCGGAAUUCCAGGUGUAGCGGUGAAAUGCGUAGAUAUCUGGAGGAACACCGGUGGCGAAGGCGGCAUCCUGGACCAACAUUGACGCUGAGGAGCGAAAGCCAGGGGAGCAAGCGGG